GCAGUCGAGCGGUAGCACAGAGAGCUUGCUCUCGGGUGACGAGCGGCGGACGGGUGAGUAAUGUCUGGGAAACUGCCUGAUGGAGGGGGAUAACUACUGGAAACGGUAGCUAAUACCGCAUAAUGUCGCAAGACCAAAGUGGGGGACCUUCGGGCCUCAUGCCAUCAGAUGUGCCCAGAUGGGAUUAGCUAGUAGGUGGGGUAACGGCUCACCUAGGCGACGAUCCCUAGCUGGUCUGAGAGGAUGACCAGCCACACUGGAACUGAGACACGGUCCAGACUCCUACGGGAGGCAGCAGUGGGGAAUAUUGCACAAUGGGCGCAAGCCUGAUGCAGCCAUGCCGCGUGUGUGAAGAAGGCCUUCGGGUUGUAAAGCACUUUCAGCGGGGAGGAAGGCGGUGAGGUUAAUAACCUCAUCGAUUGACGUUACCCGCAGAAGAAGCACCGGCUAACUCCGUGCCAGCAGCCGCGGUAAUACGGAGGGUGCAAGCGUUAAUCGGAAUUACUGGGCGUAAAGCGCACGCAGGCGGUCUGUCAAGUCGGAUGUGAAAUCCCCGGGCUCAACCUGGGAACUGCAUUCGAAACUGGCAGGCUAGAGUCUUGUAGAGGGGGGUAGAAUUCCAGGUGUAGCGGUGAAAUGCGUAGAGAUCUGGAGGAAUACCGGUGGCGAAGGCGGCCCCCUGGACAAAGACUGACGCUCAGGUGCGAAAGCGUGGGGAGCAAACAGGAUUAGAUA
rnacentral:rRNA from 1 species